AUUGAACGCUGGCGGCAGGCUUAACACAUGCAAGUCGAGCGGGGUGAGGUGCUUCGGUACUGAUCCUAGCGGCGGACGGGUGAGUAAUGCUUAGGAAUCUGCCUAUUAGUGGGGGACAACAUUCCGAAAGGAAUGCUAAUACCGCAUACGUCCUACGGGAGAAAGCAGGGGAUCUUCGGACCUUGCGCUAAUAGAUGAGCCUAAGUCGGAUUAGCUAGUUGGUGGGGUAAAGGCCUACCAAGGCGACGAUCUGUAGCGGGUCUGAGAGGAUGAUCCGCCACACUGGGACUGAGACACGGCCCAGACUCCUACGGGAGGCAGCAGUGGGGAAUAUUGGACAAUGGGCGGAAGCCUGAUCCAGCCAUGCCGCGUGUGUGAAGAAGGCCUUCGGGUUGUAAAGCACUUUCAGUAGGGAGGAAGGGUGUUGUGUUAAUAGCACAGCAUUUUGACGUUACCUACAGAAGAAGCACCGGCUAACUCUGUGCCAGCCGCCGCGGUAAUAC
rnacentral:rRNA from 1 species